rnacentral:rRNA from 1 species
CACUCCUACGGGAGGCAGCAGUGGGGAAUAUUGCACAAUGGGCGCAAGCCUGAUGCAGCCAUGCCGCGUGUAUGAAGAAGGCCUUCGGGUGUAAAGUACUUUCAGCAGUGAGGAAGGUGGGUAUGUUAAUAGCAUACUCAUUUGACGUUAGCUGCAGAAGAAGCACCGGCUAACUCCGUGCCAGCAGCCGCGGUAAUACGGAGGGUGCGAGCGUUAAUCGGAAUUACUGGGCGUAAAGCGCAUGCAGGUGGUUUGUUAAGUCAGAUGUGAAAGCCCGGGGCUCAACCUCGGAAUUGCAUUUGAAACUGGCAAACUAGAGUACUGUAGAGGGGGUAGAAUUUCAGGUGUAGCGGUGAAAUGCGUAGAGAUCUGAAGGAAUACCGGUGGCGAAGGCGGCCCCCUGGACAGAUACUGACACUCAGAUGCGAAAGCGUGGGGAGCAAACAGGAUUAGAUACCCUGGUAG